GAACAAAAUGAUGAGCUUUGCUGAGGCUCCCCUUUGGCUGAGCUCAGUGGAACCAGAGGGCAUAGGAGCCCUAAUAAUAUAGCCCUGAGGGGCCUUCUCCUUAGGGCAGAAAGCAGAGUGGGAAAGGAUGGAUGGCAGACAUGAAGAGGCAAAUGGAAGGUAUCUAGUAUAUAGACCAAUAUUUAUUAAGAACACACCAUAUAUCAAGCACAGGGCUAGGCCUUGGUGAGACAGUAAGCCUUUCCAGCCCCUGUCCUCAACAAACUUUUUUACAGAAUGAUAAAUCAUAUGACAGAGGUAACAGAGGAUGCUUUACAAGCAGAAGGAGGGCCUCUAGCCCAGCCAUGGCAAGGGCAGAGGAGGGAUAGGAAAGGUCAGGGAAGGCUUCCUGAUGUCGACUCUAUGAAAACAUACAGUCAAUAAUCAGUGGAGCCCAAAUACUAAACCAGGAGGUGUAAUUCUAAAACCAGGGUUAUAUUCAUUACUGUAAUUUCUUCCCCUGCCUCCCACCCCACCUUCUCCCUCAGCAAUCUGGGCUAAUAGAUAAUGUGCACGAAACACAUGUAGACACAACUACGUUUGUGGAACAAAUGACUUUCUACCUGAGGUAUAAAAUCGGCUUCUAAAGUAAGGGAAAGCCACGCCCACUUAUUUUAUGAACACUAAAAUUUUCCCAUAUCCCCACUAAUAUAAGCACAAAUGUUUUUAGGGGGCAUGCAGUGGGAAGGAAAUGCCACCACAUUAUCUAAAGGACAUGGGUUUAAAUCCUAGCUUUGCCACUUCCUAGCUUUAUAAUCACAGGCAAAUCAAUUAACCUCCCUGUUCUUAUCAAAGAUUAUUGUAAAGGAUGAGAAAGCACGCUGUAACCUUCAAAGUUUAUUAUAUGUAGGGAUUAAAAAUUAAUAUUGAAGGAUUUUUUCCCUUUUACUUGAAAUUCCUGAAAGGUCCAAAUUUUAAUGUCUCAAUUCCUUUUAUUUUACCACAAAACCACCUGAGCCCUAAACAUCGAUCAUUUGAUUCUUUGAGACCUAGGAUUUGUCUGUGAUUAGAAAUUUUACAGUGAAAAAUUCUGCUGCAACUUUCCUGAAGUGUUGUUUCCAAGGGUCAGUUUUCUUGAAAAGAUUUGUUCAAUUAACCUGCAAGUAGCUGCUCACCUAUGGGUAAAUUCCAGGAAAAAAAAAAAAGAUAUGAGUAUAUGUAUAUAAACUUCUAA
rnacentral:lncRNA from 1 species